ACCAGACUUCCACGAGGCACAGAAAGCGAGAGUAAAUUGGUUUUGGAGGCCCUGCCUGGUUAUUCUCCACCGUUUUCUUCUUCUCCUGAAGAACGGAACACGUGUUUAUAACGGCUCUGGGUCUAUUUUACUGCCACGCUCUUGUGACUAUGAAGACCUAAAGGGUCGUUUUUCCGUGCUAGCGGUUUAGUUUUGUUUCCUCGAGAUCUCGUUAUAUUUGUCAUUAACAGCGAACGUAGUCUUCUGGAAAUCUUGAGUUAUUAAUAUCAAUCGUGACAGAGCGAACGCUGUUUUGUCACAAUAACCUAAUGCCGUCAUGAGAAGAGCAUACAUAUCUCAAAAUCUCAAGAAAACAGCAUCGGUAGUCAUGAUAACGAUACAUGCCUCACGAUCUCGAGAAAAACAGCACUGGUUUUGCCAUGAUAAUAGCAUAAAUAUCUCAAGAUCGCGAAAAAGCUAAUGAAGUACCCUGCUUUCACGGAAAAACCGUAGUAAAUGAAUGGCCCUUGAGGGCUUCCGUCCGUGCCUCUUGUAGGUAGUGAUGGGUUUCUGCGUCGUCGCUAGCUACCAAGCUAACAGGUAAAUCCAUUUGCACUGAAGUUUUUAGGAAAUGUAUAAAAACUCGUUAACAGUUCGCGCAGUAUCCCGAGAUGAUGAUGCGACUGGACGUUUUUAAGUCGUCGGGUGUAUUUAGUUCUACUCUCAGUGGAAGGAGACGCUGUUGGGCUCUUCACCCCCUCUGUGAUUACGUCAGCUGUCUGGACGAAAGGAGAUCCACUGUGGGGCCUGACCUCUGGCCCUCUGUUAUCACUAGUAGCUGACCUCAGGGCGUGUGGAAGUGCUGCUCAGCACCCACAGGGACAGGCCUGCACACUGUCAUGACCUGCUAAGAACUACACAAACAGCAGCAAACUCCUUGUUAUUAGGAGGGGGUUGGGUGGAGGGGAGCACUAGAUCAUGAUGGAUUAGUCCUAAUCAAGUAUAGAUUUUUGACCAUAGCCAAGUCUAGUUAUUCCCAGUCAUCAUUCUUGGGGCAGGAAACCCUGCACAUUUAAGUAUUUUCUAUUCCGAAAACACAUGAUUCUAUUUGAUUCUAGCAAAUUACUUGUCUCCAGAGCUCCAGGUCUUUUUUCCCUCUUUAAAUAACAUUCCCCUAUACAAAGGAAAUAUAUUUACACAUAUUUCUCAAAAUAUGUGUCAGGUUUGUGAAGUAUUUCCAUAUAUGUUUGAUAUAUAAAUUUAGGCAUCAAAAAUAACACUGUUGUGUAUAUUUCAUCUACAUGUAUGCACAUUUUUAAAUAUAUUGGGAAAUAUACAUAUUGACAUAUAUUUAGAUAUUUAAAAAUGGCAUAGUUACCUAUAUCUAGUACCAUUAUUUUACAAUAUACACUGUUAAUAGAGCAAAUACACUGAUAAGUCAAACAUUGGGGCCACCUGCUAAUAUGCUUCUGGUUCUUAAACAGAUCUGACCUGCUGAGGCAUGGACUCUACUAGACUUCUGAAAGUGCCCUGUGGUAUCCAACACUAAGACAUUAACAGCAGAUCCUUUAAGUCCUGUAAGUUGUGAGGUGGAGCCACCUCAUAUUGGACUUAUUGUCCCGGCACAUACCACAGAUGCUGGAUCAGAUUGAGAUCUUGGGAAUUUGGAGUCAAGGGCAACACCUUGAGCUCUGCUACAUGUUCCUCACACCGUUCGCAAACAGUGUAUAGUGUGGAAGGGGGCACUGUUCUGCUAAAAGAGGCCACUGUCACUGGGGAAUACCACUAAGGAGUGUACUUGAUCCACAACAAUAUUUAGGUAGGUGGCACGUGUCAAACUGAUGCCCACAUGAAAGGCUGGAUCCAGGGUUUCCCACCAAACCAUUGACCAAAGCAUCACACUCUCUUCGCUGUCUUCCCACAGUGCAUCCCGGAGUCAUCACAUCCCCAGGUAAACAGUGCUCACACACCCAGCUGUCCACGUAAUAUAAAAGAAAAUGG
ensembl:lncRNA